GUAAUGUAUGGGGAUCUGCCUGAUGGCGGGGGGUAACUACUGGAAACGGUAGCUAAUACCGCAUAAUGUCUACGGACCAAAGCGGGGGACCUCCGGGCCUCGCGCCAUCAGAUGAACCCAUAUGGGAUUAGCUAGUAGGUGAGGUAACGGCUUACCUAGGCGACGAUCCCUAGCUGGUCUGAGAGGAUGAUCAGCCACACUGGGACUGAGACACGGCCCAG
rnacentral:rRNA from 1 species